GAUUAGAGUUUGAUCCUGGCUCAGAUUGAACGCUGGCGGCAUGCUUUACACAUGCAAGUCGAACGGCAGCGGGGGCUUCGGCCUGCCGGCGAGUGGCGAACGGGUGAGUAAUGCAUCGGAACGUGCCCAUGUCGUGGGGGAUAACGUAUCGAAAGGUACGCUAAUACCGCAUACGUCCUGAGGGAGAAAGCGGGGGAUCGCAAGACCUCGCGCGAUUGGAGCGGCCGAUGUCGGAUUAGCUAGUAGGUGAGGUAAAGGCUCACCUAGGCGACGAUCCGUAGCGGGUCUGAGAGGAUGAUCCGCCACACUGGGACUGAGACACGGCCCAGACUCCUACGGGAGGCAGCAGUGGGGAAUUUUGGACAAUGGGGGCAACCCUGAUCCACCAUGCCGCGUGAGUGAAGAAGGCUUCGGGUUGUAAAGCUUUUUCGGCCGGGAAGAAAUCGUGUUCUCUACAUAGGACAUGGUGACGGUCCCGACUAAAAACACGGAUACUCCUGCNNCAGCC
rnacentral:rRNA from 1 species